rnacentral:rRNA from 1 species
UAGGGAAUCUUCGGCAAUGGACGGAAGUCUGACCGAGCAACGCCGCGUGAGUGAAGAAGGUUUUCGGAUCCGUAAAGCUCUGUUGUAAGAGAAGAACGGGUGUGAGAGUGGAAAGUUCACACUGUGACGGUAUCUUACCAGAAAGGGACGGCUAACUACGUGCCAGCAGCCGCGGUAAUACGUAGGUCCCGAGCGUUGUCCGGAUUUAUUGGGCGUAAAGCGAGCGCAGGCGGUUAGAUAAGUCUGAAGUUAAAGGCUGUGGCUUAACCAUAGUACGCUUUGGAAACUGUUUAACUUGAGUGCAAGAGGGGAGAGUGGAAUUCCAUGUGUAGCGGUGAAAUGCGUAGAUAUAUGGAGGAACACCGGUGGCGAAAGCGGCUCUCUGGCUUGUAACUGACGCUGAGGCUCGAAAGCGUGGGGAGCAAACAGGAUUAGAUACCCUGGUAGUCCACGCCGUAAACGAUGAGUGCUAGGUGUUAGACCCUUUCCGGGGUUUAGUAGCGCAGCUAACGCAUUAAGCACUCCGCCUGGGGAGUACGAACGCAAGGUUG